rnacentral:misc_RNA from 1 species
AAGUCGUAACAAGGUUUCCGUAGGUGAACCUGCGGAAGGAUCAUUAAAAAAUAUAGAAUUAAUUUUCUAUAAACCCAAUCUGUGUAUUCGUACCUGUUGCUUCCGUGGGACAGUGAACGCUUGUCGUUCCCUCUGGCGCUGUUCUUCGGAACGGAUGCUGGGGAGUGCCCACGGGAGGUCUACAUAAACUCUGUUUUUUCUGAACUCAGUCUGAAAACUGUUUUUAAAUAAAUCAAAACUUUCAACAACGGAUCUCUUGGUUCUG